rnacentral:rRNA from 1 species
UCUGUGAUGCCCUUAGAUGUUCUGGGCCGCACGCGCGCUACACUGACAGAGCCAGCGAGUUUAUAACCUUGGCCGGAAGGUCUGGGUAAUCUUGUGAAACUCUGUCGUGCUGGGGAUAGAGCAUUGCAAUUCUUGCUCUUCAACGAGGAAUUCCUAGUAAGCGUGAGUCAUCAGCUCGCGUUGAUUACGUCCCUGCCCUUUGUACACACCGC